GACGAACGCUGGCGGCGUGCCUAAUACAUGCAAGUAGAACGCUGAAGAGAGGAGCUUGCUCUUCUUGGAUGAGUUGCGAACGGGUGAGUAACGCGCAGGUAACCUGCCUUGUAGCGGGGGAUAACUAUUGGAAACGAUAGCUAAUACCGCAUAACAAUGGAUGACACAUGUCAUUUAUUUGAAAGGGGCAAUUGCUCCACUACAAGAUGGACCUGCGUUGUAUUAGCUAGUAGGUGAGGUAACGGCUCACCUAGGCGACGAUACAUAGCCGACCUGAGAGGGUGAUCGGCCACACUGGGACUGAGACACGGCCCAGACUCCUACGGGAGGCAGCAGUAGGGAAUCUUCGGCAAUGGGGGCAACCCUGACCGAGCAACGCCGCGUGAGUGAAGAAGGUUUUCGGAUCGUAAAGCUCUGUUGUAAGUCAAGAACGAGUGUGAGAGUGGAAAGUUUACACUGUGACGGUAGCUUACCAGAAAGGGACGGCUAACUACGUG
rnacentral:rRNA from 1 species